GACUCGGUUUGAAACGCCCGCUUAUUUAUUUUCUUGUCGCCUCGCUACAAGAUUCUAUCCUUGUUUGGGCAUGAGUGGGGGGCGGCAGUCUCGUGGGACCGGCGGCAUUCGUCGUUCCUCCUUACGGGGAUAAUUCGAGAAGUGCGGUCCGGGUAGGGAGAGAAAUCAGGAGAGAAAAUGAGAAAGAGAAUCCUCGUUUCCCCUCAAAGUUGGACGACCCACUCGUAUAUCUCCUUUUUGGGAGAUUCGCCCAUAACUCAGCACAAACAGGGAAUAGCCCGGAAAGCGCGCGAGUUCCCGUCCGAUUGUGGCGGGGGAGGCUGAACGUUUGGUCCACACGGGUGCAGGACGCGGGGGUCAGGCCUCCUGCUGCGGAGGAAGAGGGGGAAGAGGCCGCGCGGGAGGGACUUCUGACACGCGCCACUGUUUUUGUUUUCAAACAGGGGUACUUAACCGAAACUAGCAAUCCCAGGCGGUACAAGGCCCUCCAUCGUAGGCAAAGCACUACCUGAAUGUAGAUUUGGGCCAUACGUUGGAAAAUAAGACAUGAGAGUAUGCUCCGAUCAACUUUUACUGUUCACUGGACAACUAUUUUGGGAAUUUGCAGACCUAUAAAGCCCAUCUAUAAAUCUCAAGCAUGUCCACUUUCAGAGAAGAGAAAUGCUGACAACCAUUUAGUCUCUGAGGACAACACUUUUAAAGUGUAACAAUGUGGCAUCCAGAGCUUAUCCAGAUGAGCGGAGAGCAAAUGAAUUUCCUUCUGCUCCCCUGUUGAAGAGGAGAGAAAAAUUCUUCAAGCUGUAAGUGCUCAGAGAGCAUCAUACUAUUCUUUACAGUAGACUAAUCUCAAGACCAUGAGUUCCUAGGGGCUGCAGAGUCCAAGGCAAAUCCCACUGAUCCUUUCUCAUAUUUGCACAGGGGUCAAAUCAAGUUCAGAGGAAUAGCCCCAUGGGGAUGGGAAGCCUCCAGAUAUGCAGGUAAAGGAAAGGCCAUGCAAGAGAGAAGCCUGCAGCCUCCAGGGACUUGCUUUGGCGACUGGGGUGUGGGGUGUUUACGGCCUCAUUUUGUGCCAAAGCCACUCUCUUUUCCCGGACUCACUACUUCUCAGAGUCCCUCCUGACCAUGAAAAUUAGGACAGAAAAUCACAAGGCAGUCACCCCAAUUUCUUAAAGUCUAGGAACAACUCAGCUAGGGCCAGCUUCCUGGGCAUGCGACCUGUGCAGUCACAAAGGGCUCCAGGCUUACAAGAGCCCCGCACUUGGCAUAAUGCUCUGCCAUCUCCAUCUUGAAAUUCUUAAGACUCUUUGAACAAAGAGUCCAUUUAUUUAUGAAUAUCCAGAUCUUGUAUACAAAGCCAUAAAGCAUUUUUAGCACAAGAACACAAGCUGUUGCUCAUCUUAGUGCACUCUUAUCAAUGACAAGAGAACCAAAGGAUGGAAAUAAUUAGGCUAAGACUAAAAUGAGCCCAAUUUUUAAUAAAAAUUAAAUUUUAGGGGCACUAUGAUACAGAGGUCAGAGGUAUUUUUCUAGGAUAUGUGUCAUUUCUGCUUUCCAUCUGGUUUGAUUAUUUUGAGAUAGUAUGUGGUUUGCUAGACAUUUCAAACCAGACAUACAAUACAGCUACCUAAAAGUCACUGUAGGUUUUUGAUUUUUUUUUUUAAUAAAGUGAGAAAACCUGAGUGCAAACCUAGGUAUUGGAUAAUAGCAUAUCUGUUAACACCAAGGAACAGUGCCAGCCCUAUACAGAAGUGAAGACUGUGAAGUUUCAAAGCAUCCCUUUACCUCCUCUUUCAGUAUCCCUUUAUCCCAUUAUGUUUGUACCCCUUUCUCCUUAUAGUAAAAAUAGAUUUCUGGGAAACUUACAUAUAAAAUCUUGUCCCCUCUGCCACUGAGUUGAGCCAAAAGUCUACAUCCCAUUUCUAUGUGGCUUUGUUCUCUGCUGACUUUAAUGGUUAGAAAGCUAUCUGAUAAUUAAUCCCUGUAAAAUUAUUACCUGGUAGUACUAACUUAAGAUGUGACUUCUACCUGGGAUGCUCUGCAUUUUAAUACUUUAUAAAUAUCUCAAAGUCUUAAAGAUUCAAGAAAUGAAUUUCUCCCAGAGCCAUUGUAAAGCCCACUGACAAGCCAGUGGGUGCUUCCUGAAGGCCUUUGAUUGCAUCUGGCAGACAGCUGCCUUCGUGUCUGCUUGGAAGAGCUGCCCAUGAUGGCAAUGUGUGGCCAAGAAAUAGAAGAAACCAUUCCAGUGAUUCCUUUAGUUCAUGCUAAACUUGAAUAGCUCAGUAGUUCAUCCAGACUAAUGAUUUACAUCUUGUCACAUUGUCCCACUUAUGGUAGAUGCUAACAUACAGGAAAAGCAACGUCCUUUACAUAACCCCAGUACUUCCUCUCCCGUUCUCCUUGCUGACUUUGCUUCCUAGGUCACCGAGAAAAUGAAAAUCACUGGAGAACUUUCACAAUCUCUCACCACAUCUCCCACUUGCCAGCAACUACUCUCACAGAUACUCUUCUCUUUUCAUUCAUGAAGAAUUGUCCAUAUUUCUCUUUAAGGCCACUGGAUCCCAUCACCUGCUCAAGGUCAUCACUCCCGCAGUUCACUCCUCACUUAUGGAUUAUUUCCAUCUGCAUGCAAAUGCACCAUCUUAUCUGAAAAUCAAUAACAACCCCCUCUCUUGACCCCACUUUCUGCCCAGGCUACUGAUCAUUUCUAUUUCAGUUCACAUCAAAACUCCUUGAAAAACUUACCUACCCUUACUGUUCCAACUUCUUGCCUCUCAUUCUCCUUCAACCUGCUUCAGUCGAGUUUUUGUUCCUGCUCACUCCACCAAAACUGCUCUUGUUAAGUUCCCCAGUGACUUCCAUGUUGCUUAACCCGAUGGUUCAUUCUCAGGCCUCUCAGCCACAUCUGAGACAGUUCAUCACUCCCUUCUCCCAGAAAUUCUCUUUGCUUGGCUUCCAGGAUCCCAGGCUCUCCUGAUUUUCUUUCUACCUCAUUGGCUGCUCUUCCUCAGAUCCUUUGCUGAUUCUUCCCCCAUCGCUUUGUCCCCUUAACAAUGGAGUGCUCCAAGGUAAGCCUCAGACCAUUUUUCUUCUGAAUCUACACUCACUCUUUUGGCCAUCUCAUGGAGACUCAUGGCUUUAAAUACCAUGUAUAUGCUAAAUACUCCCAAAGCUGUCUCUACAGCGCAGACUUUUCUUUGAAACUCCAGGCUCAUAUCUCCAGCUGUCUACUCUACUUCAGCGUCUAGCAGGCAUCUCACUCUUAAUCCUCAUUUUACUUUCCAAGUCCACUCUUUUCUCUCUUCCCCCUAGUCUAUUCUCAGCAGGCUAGCCAGAGUGAUCCUAUUAAACCAUGGGGCAGAUCAUAUCACUCUUCUACUUCAGACCCUACAAUGGCUUCUGGUCACUCUUAGAAAAAAAUCAAAGUCCUUACCAUGACUUAUUUAGGCCUUACCCAGUCUGCCCACGGUUACUUUCUGUUCAUUCUGUGCCAGCCAAACUAGCCUUCCAGCUGCUCCUGGAACAGGCCAGUCAUGUUCAUGCCUAAGGGCCUGCUCAGUUGCUGUCCCCUUUGCCCAAAUUGCUCUUCCCUCAGAUAUCUGCAUGGAUUCUUCCAUUGCCUCUUUCAGGUCUUCAUUCAGACAUUCCUUUUUGUGGAUACUUUCCUUGACCACCCUAUUAAAAUUGCAAUGCCCUUUCUUACCCACCUUCUCUAAUUUAUCACUCCCCUUGGUACUAUCACCUUCUAAACAUUUACUGAUUUACUUUAUUAUGUCUCCCGCAUCCCCAGAAUGUAAGCUUUAUGAGGGGUGGGAUCUCCAUCUGUUACCUGAUGUAUCCCCAUGCCCAUGUCAGCCAUAGAAGGUGCUCAAUACACACUUGUUAAAUAUUUGAUAAUGUAUCUCUGUAUCAAAGAACAUAGUCUGCAUGUGAUCUUCAGAAAACCAGUUUUCCAAAGGAAGGGAUCAGAUCUCCAACUAGGGUUCUUUCUUAAGCUCUUCACAAAGCUGAAGCACUCGCUGUGAGGCAGACCCUUGUGUUUGUGCGGUGGGCUGAGCAUUCCCUGUGAACCCUCGCUGCCCAUUCACACCACUGAAAGCUCUUUCUGCUGAACACGUGAAACUGAAACACCGUGCAACAUUUUUACUAUUGGUUCAGGAGUACUCUUUUGACUUAGUAAUGAUCAGGCAGCUUUGUUUUCCAGGAAAUGCUUCUUUUUAAAUGUUAUUUUAUUUGUAGCAAUAAAAUAGGCUUCAA
ensembl:lncRNA BVES-AS1 BVES antisense RNA 1